UACGUAGGGCGCGAGCGUGUCCGGAAUUAUUGGGCGUAAAGAGCUCGUAGGCGGCCGGUUGCGUCUGCUGUGAAAUCCCGGGGCUUAACCCCGAGCCUGCAGUGGAUACGGGCAGACUAGAGGUAGGUAGGGGAGAAUGGAAUUCCCGGUGUAGCGGUGAAAUGCGCAGAUAUCAGGAGGAACACCGAUGGCGAAGGCAGGUCUCUGGGCCACUACUGACGCUGAGAAGCGAAAGCAUGGGGAGCGAACAGG
rnacentral:rRNA from 1 species